UCGCUCAGGUCUCCCAGCAUCGACGAAUAUGCGUUUCACCUUUUACUAAACCCAUCCGUGCUGGAGAACACUUACAAUGAGCCUAAAUGGUAAUUUUUGGAGCCCCUAUAAGGGGCC
rnacentral:snRNA from 1 species